GGGGUCGGAACUUCGGUUCCGGCUUACGUGGCGCACGGGUGAGUAACACGUGGGAAUCUGCCCAUCUAUGGGGAAUAACUGCGGGAAACUGCAGCUAAUACCGCAUACGCCCUUCGGGGGAAAGGCUUCGGCCGUAGAUGGAUGAGCCCGCGUCCGAUUAGCUAGUUGGUGGGGUAAAAGCCUACCAAGGCGACGAUCGGUAGCUGGUCUGAGAGGAUGAUCAGCCACACUGGGACUGAGACACGGCCCAGACUCCUACGGGAGGCAGCAGUGGGGAAUAUUGGACAAUGGGCGAAAGCCUGAUCCAGCAAUGCCGCGUGAGUGAUGAAGGUCUUCGGAUUGUAAAGCUCUUUCGACGGGGAAGAUAAUGACGGUACCCGUAGAAGAAGCCCCGGCUAACUUCGUGCCAGCAGCCGCGGUAAUACGAAGGGGGCUAGCGUUGUUCGGAUUUACUGGGCGUAAAGCGUGCGUAGGCGGCUUGUCAAGUCAGAAGUGAAAGCCCGGGGCUCAACUCCGGAACUGCUUUUGAGACUGGCAGGCUUGAGUUCGGGAGAGGGUAGUGGAAUUCCCAGUGUAGAGGUGAAAUUCGUAGAUAUUGGGAAGAACACCG
rnacentral:rRNA from 1 species